UUCGUAGGCGGUGCGGCAAGUCGGGAGUGAAAUCUCUGGGCUUAACUCAGAGGCUGCUUCCGAAACUGCCGCGCUAGAGUGCGGGAGAGGCCAGUGGAAUUGCAGGUGUAGCGGUGAAAUGCGUAGAUAUCUGCAGGAACACCCGUGGCGAAGGCGGCUGGCUGGACCGUAACUGACGCUGAGGAACGAAAGCUAGGGGAGCAAACAGGAUUAGAUACCCUGGUAGUCCUAGCCCUAAACCAUCAGGACUUGGGGUGCAUCCCGUUGGGGGUGCGUCCCGUAGCUAACGCGUUAAGUCCUGCGCCUGGGGAGUACGGUCGCAAGGCUGAA
rnacentral:rRNA from 1 species